rnacentral:rRNA from 1 species
AUUGAACGCUGGCGGCAUGCCUUACACAUGCAAGUCGAACGGCAGCACGGGAGCAAUCCUGGUGGCGAGUGGCGAACGGGUGAGUAAUAUAUCGGAACGUGCCCAGUCGUGGGGAUAACGUAGCGAAAGCUACGCUAAUACCGCAUACGAUCUAUGGAUGAAAGCGGGGGAUCGCAAGACCUCGCGCGAUUGGAGCGGCCGAUAUCAGAUUAGGUAGUUGGUGAGGUAAAGGCUCACCAAGCCGACGAUCUGUAGCUGGUCUGAGAGGACGACCAGCCACACUGGAACUGAGACACGGUCCAGACUCCUACGGGAGGCAGCAGUGGGAAUUUUGGACAAUGGACGCAAGUCUGAUCAGCCAUUCCGCGU